rnacentral:lncRNA from 1 species
CGGUCUUAGUGGGUGAGCGGUUUGGUCGAGGGGGGUAUUUACUAUUAGCAUUGUAUGGCACAGACAGUGGGUCUUCAUUUCCAGAUAAUUUAAGGAAUAAUGCCCCAAAAGUAUGAUGUUGACGAUGAGCCAAUUGCAAAACAGACCACACCAUGCUCAGGAUUGAGGGAGGAGCUGAAGACAUGCAUUCUGGAGAGUCAGUGUGUGAAGGGUGGCAGAUUACCAAAGGACUGUCUAACUCAUCCAGACCACACUGUUCCUGAUGAGUGUCUUCAACUCAAGUGGUCCUUCUUUGAAUGCAAAAGGUCAUUGUUGGACGCGCGGCAGAGGUUCCGCGGCCGGAAGGGCUACUAGCUGCCGCCUCGCGCCUGGCGCCAGAUCUCCGUGGUCUGCGCUGGUCGGGGCGCACGGCUGUGCUGGCGGGCCGCUGGACGGCCCGGGACAGCCGCGGGAGACGCUCCGCCAGCCUGUGGACUGGGCAGCCGGCGACCGUCGCCACCAGUCGGAGAACACCCGCAUGGAUGCGUUGUUGAGUCAUUUAGAGCUUGUUUGUUGUGGUCGGAGAAUCCGUGCACGCUUGAGUUUUGAGUGCCCGGAACAUAGCCACCUGCUGCGUAAGAGAGCUGUGUGAUGUGACUGAAAUAAAGGCUGCUGUUUGUAGAA